AGCGAACGCUGGCGGCAGGCCUAACACAUGCAAGUCGAACGAACCUUUCGGGGUUAGUGGCGGACGGGUGAGUAACACGUGGGAACGUGCCUUUAGGUUCGGAAUAACUCAGGGAAACUUGUGCUAAUACCGAAUGUGCCCUUCGGGGGAAAGAUUUAUCGCCUUUAGAGCGGCCCGCGUCUGAUUAGCUAUUUGGUUGAGGUAAUGGCCCACCAAGGCGACGAUCAGUAGCUGGUCUGAGAGGAUGAUCAGCCACAUUGGGACUGAGACACGGCCCAAACUCCUACGGGAGGCAGCAGUGGGGAAUCUUGCGCAAUGGGCGAAAGCCUGACGCAGCCAUGCCGCGUGAAUGAUGAAGGUCUUAGGAUUGUAAAAUUCUUUCACCGGGGACGAUAAUGACGGUACCCGGAGAAGAAGCCCCGGCUAACUUCGUG
rnacentral:rRNA from 1 species